GAGAUGUUGGGUUAAGUCCCGCAACGAGCGCAACCCCCGUCCCAUGUUGCCAGCACGCCCGUUUGGGUGGUGGGGACUCAUGGGAGACUGCCGGGGUCAACUCGGAGGAAGGGGGGGAAGACGUCAAGUCCUCUUGCCCCUUAUGCCCUGGGCUGCAAACAUGCUACAAUGGCCGGGACAGCGGGAUGCGAUCCCGUGAGGGGGAGCGGAUCCCUAAAAGCCGGUCUCAGUUCGGAU
rnacentral:rRNA from 1 species